UACGUAGGGUGCAAGCGUUGUCCGGAAUUAUUGGGCGUAAAGAGCUCGUAGGCGGUCUGUCGCGUCGGCUGUGAAAACCCGGGGCUCAACCCCGGGCCUGCAGUCGAUACGGGCAGACUAGAGUGUGGUAGGGGAGACUGGAAUUCCUGGUGUAGCGGUGAAAUGCGCAGAUAUCAGGAGGAACACCGGUGGCGAAGGCGGAUCGCUGGGCCGGUCCUGACGCUCAGGCGCGAAAGCUAGGGGAGCAAACAGG
rnacentral:rRNA from 1 species